rnacentral:rRNA from 1 species
AAGCGUUAAUCGGAAUUACUGGGCGUAAAGCGCACGCAGGCGGUUUGUUAAGUCAGAUGUGAAAUCCCCGGGCUCAACCUGGGAACUGCAUCUGAUACUGGCAAGCUUGAGUCUCGUAGAGGGGGGUAGAAUUCCAGGUGUAGCGGUGAAAUGCGUAGAGAUCUGGAGGAAUACCGGUGGCGAAGGCGGCCCCCUGGACGAAGACUGACGCUCAGGUGCGAAAGCGUGGGGAGCAAACAGGAUUAGAUACCCUGGUAGUCCACGCCGUAAACGACGUCGACUUGGAGGUUGUGCCCUUGAGGCGUGGCUUCCGGAGCUAACGCGUUAAGUCGACCGCCUGGGGAGUACGGCCGCAAGGUUA